GCCACACUCAAUUUCAUGCUACCUGGCUCUCCUCCCUCCUGUCACAUGUGAGAUCAAGGCCAUUAUGACUGCGCAUGGUUUUGCUUGUGAGUUUUUCCUUCCCCUCCCCUCUUCUGCCUGGUAAACUCCUCAUCCUCUGAUACCCCACUCAGAGUGGAUUAUCUUCCUCCCUGGGAGCCUUCCCUGACUCCCAUCCUUUGCCGGGUGUUCUUCUGGACCCCAGAACAAGAGAGACAAAGUCCCUAUUGUCAUGGAAUGCUCGUCCUAGAUCACCACUGUCCAAUGGAAACCGACUGAAAGUCACAGAUGCAAGCGCCAUGUGGAACUGCAAAUCUUCAAGUAGACACACAGACAAAG
rnacentral:lncRNA from 1 species